AUGCUCACAUUUUGCAUUGGUGGGCCAUAUGGUCUUGGGGAACAGGUCCGAGAGUGGGCGGAUGCAACAAUUAGGCUAUUCUCGCUGGUUUUGAACCACCAAGUCGCUUUAAUAGUUCUAAUGGAGCAGCUCUACAGGUGA
rnacentral:rRNA from 1 species